GGGACAACAGUUGGAAACGGCUGCUAAUACCCCAUACUCCAACUUAUCCUAAGAUAAGUUGGGAAAGAUUUAUUGCUAAAGGAUGGGGCUUUAUUUGUAUCAGCUAGUUGGUGGGGUAAUGGCCUACCAAGGCAAUGACGCAUACCUGGUCUGAGAGGAUGAUCAGGCACACUGGAACUGAGACACGGUCCAGACUCCUACGGGAGGCAGCAGUGGGGAAUAUUGCACAAUGGAGGAAACUCUGAUGCAGCAACGCCGCGUGGAGGAUGACGCAUUUCGGUGUGUAAACUCCUUUUAUAGGGGAAGAUAAUGACGGUACCCUAUGAAUAAGCACCGGCUAACUCCGUGCCAGCAGCCGCGGUAAUACGGAGGGUGCAAGCGUUACUCGGAAUCACUGGGCGUAAAGGAUGCGUAGGCUGGAAAUCAAGUCGAGAGUGAAAUCCAACGGCUCAACCGUUGAACUGCUCUCGAAACUGGUUACCUAGAAUAUGGGAGAGGUAGAUGGAAUUAGUGGUGUAGGGGUAAAAUCCGUAGAUAUCACUAGGAAUACCGAUUGCGAAGGCGAUCUACUGGAACAUUAUGACG
rnacentral:rRNA from 1 species